rnacentral:rRNA from 1 species
UACGUAGGUGGCGAGCGUUGUCCGGAUUUACUGGGCGUAAAGGAUGCGUAGGUGGAAACUUAAGUGGGAUGUGAAAUCCCCGGGCUCAACCCGGGAACUGCAUUCCAAACUGGGUUACUUGAGUGCAGGAGAGGAAAGCGGAAUUCCUAGUGUAGCGGUGAAAUGCGUAGAUAUUAGGAAGAACACCAGUGGCGAAGGCGGCUUUCUGGACUGUAACUGACACUGAGGCAUGAAAGCGUGGGGAGCAAACAGGAUUAGAUACCCUGGUAGUCCCUGA